rnacentral:rRNA from 1 species
UACGUAGGGUGCAAGCGUUGUCCGGAAUUAUUGGGCGUAAAGCGCGCGUAGGCGGUUCGGUAAGUCGGGUGUGAAAACACGAGGCUCAACCUCGUGCGUGCAUCCGAUACUGCCGGACUAGAGGUAGGUAGGGGAGAUCGGAAUUCCUGGUGUAGCGGUGAAAUGCGCAGAUAUCAGGAAGAACACCCGUGGCGAAGGCGGGUCUCUGGGCCGUAACUGACGCUGAGGAGCGAAAGCAUGGGGAGCGAACAGG